UUCGAGCAUGUAGGAAUUUUGAAGGAAACAACUGCAGGUUAUUUUUGAGAAGUGUUCCCCACUCGGUGGUGUUUCGGAGCAAGUCGUCCAUAAUUGUUUCAUUUUUGUCUAUUAUGUGCAUCCGUAGAUUUCUAAUGGAGUAAUACGCUGCUUCUGUUCUCUUCUACUUCUCUACUAGAAACGUUUACUUUGGAAUUUACUUCUAUUGAGAAAAAAAAAAUCGUGUGCAUGUUAUUUUUAACGAAUAUUGUCCGGCAUGAAGCCAGUCCAUGGUAUAAAAAAGAUUGGAGACAAGAUUUCUAUACAUCCCAUUCACAACUCCAUGUAAGGGAGAUAACUUACCACAGCGAACUAUUUAAUAAAAUCUACCUUUCAUUAUUUUAA